CGGGGGGGCGAAGCGUUGUUCGGAAUUACUGGGCGUAAAGGGCUCGUAGGUGGCCAACUCAGUCGGACGUGAAAUCCCUCGGCUUAACCGGGGAACUGCGUCCGAUACUGGAUGGCUUGAGAUCGGGAGAGGGAUGCGGAAUUCCAGGUGUAGCGGUGAAAUGCGUAGAUAUCUGGAGGAACACCGGUGGCGAAGGCGGCAUCCUGGACCGACACUGACACUGAGGAGCGAAAGCCAGGGGAGCAAACGGGAUUAGAUACCCCGGUAGUCCUGGCCCUAAACGAUGAAUGCUUGGUGUGACGGGUAGUCGAUCCCUGUCGUGCCGAAGCUAACGCAUUAAGCAUUCCGCCUGGGGAGUACGGUCGCAAGGCUG
rnacentral:rRNA from 1 species